rnacentral:rRNA from 1 species
AACCUGGUUGGGUGGUCUGCCUUCACGGUACGUACUGCUUGGCCGGGUUCUACCUCUUGGUGAGCCGGCAUGCCCUUCACUGGGUGUGUCGGGGAACCAGGACUUUUACCUUGAGAAAAUUAGAGUGUUUAAAGCAGGCGUUUGCUUGAAUACAUUAGCAUGGAAUAAUGGAAUAGGGCU